CAGUAGCCGCGGUAAAACGUAGGUGGCAAGCGUUGUCCGGAAUUAUUGGGCGUAAAGGGCUCGCAGGCGGUUUCUUAAGUCUGAUGUGAAAGCCCCCGGCUCAACAGGGGAGGGUCAUUGGAAACUGGGAAACUUGAGUGCAGAAGAGGAGAGUGGAAUUCCACGUGUAGCGGUGAAAUGCGUAGAGAUGUGGAGGAACACCAGUGGCGAAGGCGACUCUCUGGUCUGUAACUGACGCUGAGGAGCGAAAGCGUGGGGAGCGAACAGGAUUAGAUACCCCUGUAGUCCCUGUCUCUUAUAC
rnacentral:rRNA from 1 species